rnacentral:rRNA from 1 species
UACGUAGGGGGCUAGCGUUGUCCGGAAUCAUUGGGCGUAAAGCGCGUGUAGGCGGUUCGGUAAGUCCGCUGUGAAAGUCGGGGGCUCAACCCUCGGAUGCCGGUGGAUACUGUCGGACUAGAGUACGGAAGAGGCGAGUGGAAUUCCUGGUGUAGCGGUGAAAUGCGCAGAUAUCAGGAGGAAUACCGAUUGCGAAGGCAGCUCGCUGGGACGUUACUGACGCUGAGACGCGAAAGCGUGGGGAGCAAACAGG